GAUGAACGCUGGCGGCGUGCUUAACACAUGCAAGUCGAGCGAGUGAGUUCUUCGGAACGAUCUAGCGGCGGACGGGUGAGUAACACGUGGGCAACCUGCCUCAUAGAGGGGAAUAGCCUCCCGAAAGGGAGAUUAAUACCGCAUAAAAUUAUCGAGUGGCAUCACACGGUAAUCAAAGGAGUAAUCCGCUAUGAGAUGGGCCCGCGGCGCGUUAGCUAGUUGGUGAGGUAACGGCUCACCAAGGCGACGAUGCGUAGCCGACCUGAGAGGGUGGUGGGACACAUUGGGACUGAGACACGGCCCAGACUCCUACGGGGUGCAGCAGUGGGGAAUAUUGCGCAAUGGGGGAAACCCUGAUGCAGCAACGCCGCGUGAGUGAUGAAGGUCUUCGGAUUGUAAAGCUCUGUCUUUGGGGACGAUAAUGACGGUACCCAAGGAGGAAGCCACGGCUAACUACGUGCCAGCCGCCGCCGUAA
rnacentral:rRNA from 1 species